GGCGUCCUGCCGGAUUCGAUGUUGAAAAUGAUCCGCCUGCCUCUCGCUGCACAUGAGCAGUGCUGGAAAUUGAAUGACAAAGAGGGCCAAUCCUUCGCUGAGAUUGCCGACUACAUCGAAGCAAACAUUCCCGCUGAAGAACACUCAGUCGCGGAGGAUCGCUCAUGAGCCGCGAUCCAUCCUUCUGCGAAUCUUCGCUGAACAAUUCAGCCGAGAUCACGAACACCAG
rnacentral:misc_RNA from 1 species